rnacentral:rRNA from 1 species
AGCGAACGCUGGCGGCAGGCCUAACACAUGCAAGUCGAACGGACCCUUCGGGGUUAGUGGCGGACGGGUGAGUAACACGUGGGAACGUGCCUUUAGGUUCGGAAUAGCUCCUGGAAACGGGUGGUAAUGCCGAAUGUGCCCUUCGGGGGAAAGAUUUAUCGCCUUUAGAGCGGCCCGCGUCUGAUUAGCUAGUUGGUGAGGUAAUGGCUCACCAAGGCGACGAUCAGUAGCUGGUCCGAGAGGAUGACCAGCCACAUUGGGACUGAGACACGGCCCAAACUCCUACGGGAGGCAGCAGUGGGGAAUCUUGCGCAAUGGGCGAAAGCCUGGCGCAGCCAUGCCGCGUGGAUGAUGAAGGUCUUAGGAUUGUAAAAUCUUUCACCGGUGAAGAUAAUGACUGUAGCCGGAGAAGAAGCCCCGGCUAACUUCGUGCCAGCAGCCGCGGUAAAAC